rnacentral:tRNA from 1 species
GAAACAAGAAGUUUAUUUAAAUAGUUAGUUUCGACCUAAAAGAAGAAUUUUUAUUCCUUGUUU